GAAUUUUGGACAAUGGGGGAAACCCUGAUCUAGCCAUGCCGCGUGAUCGAUGAAGGCCUUAGGGUUGUAAAGAUCUUUCAGCUGGGAAGAUAAUGACGGUACCAGCAGAAGAAGCCCCGGCUACCUCCGUGCCAGCAGCCGCGGUAAUACGGAGGGGGCUAGCGUUAUUCGGAGUUACUGGGCGUAAAGCGCACGUAGGCGGAUCAGAAAGUUAGGGGUGAAAUCCCGGGGCUCAACCUCGGAACUGCCUCUAAAACUCCUGGUCUUGAGGUCGAGAGAGGUGAGUGGAAUUCCGAGUGUAGAGGUGAAAUUCGUAGAUAUUCGGAGGAACACCAGUGGCGAAGGCGGCUCACUGGCUCGAUACUGACGCUGAGGUGCGAAAGCGUGGGGAGCAAACA
rnacentral:rRNA from 1 species